CGAGAAUCUGAUGCUUUGGUCGAUACAAAGUCCUUUGUUACCAGCUAAUGCCUUGUCUCCUCCCAGCGUUAAAAGAUCUAAUGAUACCUCUCCUGAUAGCUGGUUGUUAGAGAGAUCCAAUGAAGACAGCUUCAGAUUGUCCAAGCUAGUUGGUAUUGUACCAGUGAGUCUGUUGUGUGAAAGAUUCAGAGAGUUCAAAGAGG
rnacentral:misc_RNA from 1 species